UGAGGGACUUGGUUAAAAAACUUAACGCUGCUGCAGAUGUUCUUAUAAUAAAAGAGAGAGAGAGGGUAUCAAAUUAAGUUUUUGUGUCAAGCCUAACACUAUAUAUAACAUUUUUAGUUGAGAAUAAAGAUAAAUACUACAUUCCUUUUAUGAAUAACAAAACUUGAAGUCUGACAAAUAAAUAAUAGAGAAAAGCGUAUGUUGAUAUGAUCAUUAUAAUUCGCUAAUCAUAAGCUUGGAAAUUAUCCAAAUCAGUUAUAGUUUAUGAUUAACAGUUUUAGUAGGUAACAUAACAAUUUGAUAAC
rnacentral:lncRNA from 1 species